rnacentral:miRNA from 1 species
UUCAUUCAGUGAAAGAUGGAAUGUUCCAUUCAACGAGGCAACAGCCAAGUUGAAUGGAACAUUCCAUCUUUCACUGAAUGAAAAUAUUCUUAC